rnacentral:lncRNA from 1 species
GUGCCCACCGGAGGUGGGGCGGGGGGCUGUGGUCUCCCCCGUGCUCUCUAGCUCCCCAUGUCAGGGGCACCUCUGAUCUCUUGCUAUCCUUUCUUACUUAGGGCAAAUUCAUUCGCAUCAACUUUGAUGUCAAUGGCUACAUUGUUGGAGCCAACAUUGAGACUUAUCUUUUGGAGAAAUCUCGUGCUAUCCGCCAAGCCAAGGAAGAACGGACCUUCCACAUCUUCUAUUAUCUCCUGUCUGGGGCUGGAGAGCACCUGAAGACCGAUCUCCUGUUGGAGCCGUACAACAAAUACCGCUUCCUGUCCAAUGGACACGUCACCAUCCCCGGGCAGCAGGACAAGGACAUGUUCCAGGAGACCAUGGAGGCCAUGAGGAUUAUGGGCA